rnacentral:misc_RNA from 1 species
UCCGAGUUGACCCCGGCAGUCUCCCAUGAGUCCUCGGCAUAACCCGCUGGCAACAUGGAACGAGGGUUGCGCUCGUUGCGGGACUUAACCCAACAUCUCACGACACGAGCUGACGACAGCCAUGCACCACCUGUGAAAGUGCCCCGAAGGGAGACCGUGUUUCCACGGCUGACACUUACAUGUCAAGCCCAGGUAAGGUUCUUCGCGUUGCGUCGAAUUAAACCACAUGCUCCGCUGCUUGUGCGGGUCCCCGUCAAUUCCUUUGAGUUUUAGCCUUGCGGCCGUACUCCCCAGGCGGGGCACUUAAUGCGUUAGCUUCGGCACGGAGGGAGUCGACACCCCCCACACCUAGUGCCCAACGUUUACGGCGUGGACUAC